rnacentral:lncRNA from 1 species
UAGGAGUGAGUGGACGGUCUUGCCACACCAAAUACCGAGAAUCCUCUCCCAAGGUGGGGUCCACCUUCAAAAAGAAACCCUAACCUAAAGCCACAUGUCCAACAAAAAAUGGGCUUCUACAAAUUUGCCACAAAAAGGGCCCAAUGCACCAAAAGUUUAAUUAAAGUUCCUAAACAACUAAGUUAAUAUUUAAUAAAAAUUGAAAUGGCUAAAUGAAGAUUCUUUAAUGAUCAUGCCACCUCCUAAUAUUCCAAA